GUGAACGAGCGACGCCGCGUGCGGGAUGAAGGGCUUCGGCUUGUAAACCGCUUUUCUUCGGGAAGAAGGUCCGCCUCGUGCAGGUGGGCUUGACGGUACCGGAGGAAUAAGCCCCGGCUAACUCCGUGCCAGCAGCCGCGGUAAGACGGAGGGGGCAAGCGUUGUUCGGAAUUAUUGGGCUUAAAGCGCGUGUAGGCGGGAUGAUAAGUACCUUGUGAAAUCCCAGGCUUCAACCCGGGAACUGCUCGGUAUACUAUCAUUCUUGAGGCAAGUAGGGGUUACUGGAACCUUAGGUGGAGCGGUGAAAUGCGUAGAUAUCAGGAGGAACGCCGGCGGCGAAAGCGACUCUCUGGCCUGUUACUGACGCUGAGGCGCGAAAGCUAGGGGAGCAAACGGGAUUAGAUACCCCGGUAGUCCUAGCCCUAAACGAU
rnacentral:rRNA from 1 species